AACGAACGCUGGCGGCAUGCCUAACACAUGCAAGUCGAACGAGACCUUCGGGUCUAGUGGCGCACGGGUGCGUAACGCGUGGGAAUCUGCCCUUGGGUUCGGAAUAACAGUUAGAAAUGACUGCUAAUACCGGAUGAUGUCUUCGGACCAAAGAUUUAUCGCCCAGGGAUGAGCCCGCGUAGGAUUAGCUAGUUGGUGGGGUAAAGGCCUACCAAGGCUACGAUCCUUAGCUGGUCUGAGAGUAUGAUCAGCCACACUGGGACUGAGACACGGCCCAGACUCCUACGGGAGGCAGCAGUGGGGAAUAUUGGACAAUGGGCGAAAGCCUGAUCCAGCAAUGCCGCGUGAGUGAUGAAGGCCUUAGGGUUGUAAAGCUCUUUUACCCGGGAUGAUAAUGACAGUACCGGGAGAAUAAGCCCCGGCUAACUCCGUGCCAGCAGCCGCCGUAAAAC
rnacentral:rRNA from 1 species